rnacentral:miRNA from 1 species
UUGAGAAACUGUGAGCCAAAUC